CCUACGGGAGGCAGCAGUGAGGAAUAUUGGUCAAUGGACGAGAGUCUGAACCAGCCAAGUAGCGUGAAGGAUGACUGCCCUAUGGGUUGUAAACUUCUUUUAUAUGGGAAUAAAACGUUCCACGUGUGGGAUUUUGUAUGUACCAUAUGAAUAAGGAUCGGCUAACUCCGUGCCAGCAGCCGCGGUAAUACGGAGGAUCCGAGCGUUAUCCGGAUUUAUUGGGUUUAAAGGGAGCGUAGGUGGAUUGUUAAGUCAGUUGUGAAAGUUUGCGGCUCAACCGUAAAAUUGCAGUUGAAACUGGCAGUCUUGAGUACAGUAGAGGUGGGCGGAAUUCGUGGUGUAGCGGUGAAAUGCUUAGAUAUCACGAAGAACUCCGAUUGCGAAGGCAGUUCACUGGACUUCAACUGACACUGAGGCUCGAAAGUGUGGGUAUCAAACAGGAUUAGAUACCCCUGUAGUC
rnacentral:rRNA from 1 species